AACGAACGCUGGCGGCAGGCUUAACACAUGCAAGUCGAGCGCCCCGCAAGGGGAGCGGCAGACGGGUGAGUAACGCGUGGGAAUCUACCCAUCUCUAGGGAAUAACGCAUGGAAACGGGUGCUAAUACCGUAUACGUCCUUCGGGAGAAAGAUUUAUAGGAGAUGGAUGAGCCCGCGUUGGAUUCGCUGGUUGGUGGGGUAAGGGCCUACCAAGGCGACGAUCCAUAGCUGGUCUGAGAGGAUGAUCAGCCACACUGGGACUGAGACACGGCCCAGACUCCUACGGGAGGCAGCAGUGGGGAAUAUUGGACAAUGGGCGCAAGCCUGAUCCAGCCAUGCCGCGUGAGUGAUGAAGGCCCUAGGGUUGUAAAGCUCUUUCACCGGUGAAGAUAAUGACGGUAACCGGAGAAGAAGCCCCGGCUAACUUCGUGCCAGCCGCCGCCGUAAUAC
rnacentral:rRNA from 1 species